rnacentral:rRNA from 1 species
GGAUUAGAUACCCUGGUAGUCCACGCCGUAAACGAUGAUCACUGGAUGUCGGCAUUGCUUUGCAACGUCGGUGUCGUAGCUAACGCGCUAAGUGGUCCGCCUGGGGAUUACGGUCGCAAGACUAAAACUUAAAGGAAUUGACGGGGGUCCGCACAAGCGGUGGAACAUGUGGUUUAAUUCGACACUACGCGAGGAACCUUACCUAGGCUUGACAUGCUUUUGACCGCCAUAGAAAUAUGGUUUUCUAGGCUUCGGUUUAGACAAUUGCACAGGUGCUGCAUGGCUGUCGUCAGCUCGUGCCG